GCAACAGGAAGUUCCUUAGCUUUCAGGUUGAUAACUUGGAAUUUCUGAGGGAAAUGAGGAUCAACCCAAUAAAGGUUGCCAAAGCAUUAGUGGAAGUGUUUGCUGAAAUGAUUUUGAUGAAUAUGGGUGCAAGGUGUUAUGCCAGUUCAUUGAUAGAGUGGAGAAACACCCGAGCAAGAAAAUUGAUGAGAAGAUUGGCCAGUUCUGGAUUGUAUUUUUUUCAUAAAAGAACUUUUUUCAAGUUUUUAGUUGUAAUAACUUUUACAUGUAGCUCAAAUUUUGAGACUCAAAUAGAAUGUUCAAUAAAACUAUAAUGCUAUACUGUCUGAAUUCUUGUCAUUGUUA